rnacentral:rRNA from 1 species
UUUAAAGAGAGUUUGAUCCUGGCUCAGGACGAACGCUGGCGGCGUGCCUAAUACAUGCAAGUCGAACGAACGGAGGAAGAGCUUGCUCUUCCAAAGUUAGUGGCGGACGGGUGAGUAACACGUGGGCAACCUGCCUGUAAGUUGGGGAUAACUCCGGGAAACCGGGGCUAAUACCGAAUGAUAGAGUG